UACGAAGGGGGCUAGCGUUGCUCGGAAUGACUGGGCGUAAAGGGCGCGUAGGCGGAUGACACAGUCAGAUGUGAAAUUCCCGGGCUUAACCUGGGGGCUGCAUUUGAGACGUGUUGUCUAGAGUGAGGAAGAGGGUUGUGGAAUUCCCAGUGUAGAGGUGAAAUUCGUAGAUAUUCGCAAGAACACCAGUGGCGAAGGCGGCUCACUGGCCCGGUACUGACGCUGAGGUGCGAAAGCGGUGGGGAGCAAACAGG
rnacentral:rRNA from 1 species